UACGUAGGGUGCGAGCGUUGUCCGGAAUUAUUGGGCGUAAAGAGCUCGUAGGCGGUUUGUCGCGUCUGCCGUGAAAACCGGGGGCUUAACCCUCGGCCUGCGGUGGAUACGGGCAGACUUGAGUUCGGUAGGGGAGACUGGAAUUCCUGGUGUAGCGGUGAAAUGCGCAGAUAUCAGGAGGAACACCGGUGGCGAAGGCGGGUCUCUGGGCCGAUACUGACGCUGAGGAACGAAAGCGUGGGGAGCGAACAGG
rnacentral:rRNA from 1 species